AAUGAGCCCCUAGAAAAGGGCCUGGGCAGCAUAAAGGUGCAGCUUUGGUCACCCCCAAUGCUCAAAAUAAUGAGUAGCCAGGGUGUUUUAGCAAUAUCUUGUAUUAUCAGCUGGAUAGAUGCUAGACAAGCUUUUGAGGCCCUUCCCUGGGCUGGGAGAGUAGCUGGAGCUGAAUGCAAACCAAGCCAACAACAACAACAGAGGCUUUUAUUUAAGUUAAAAAAAAAAAUAGAUUACUUGCUCCUUGUUGCUUCCUCCUGGUUUCUGGGCUUUUGGUGGUGCUUGGUUCAUGCCUUCAACUCCCUCUCUGCAGCUGCAAGUGAAGCUCCCGAACUUGCCUUUCCUCUGCAGCUGAAGUUCUCACUAGGCAGCAGGACUCUCCGGGGAGGACAAACACUGGCUAUGCUCCUCUCUGUCUUUGGUCUGGUCCACUGCCUUCAAAGGCAGGAAGAAGUCCCAUUCAUCCCCUUGCUGGCUGGGAUAAGAGACUGGCCUCCCUCUGGGGAAGGGACUGCGAUACCGAGUGCUUUGUGCCAACCGCGGAGAAGAGCUGUGCUGCUCUGGGGAGAGCCGCUGCUGAAGCUGGGUCCAGUGUGGACUGCUCGAGUUCCUGCAGGCAUAGCUGGCUUAAGGACCAAACUCCUUUACUGGGAAACUGAGGCACGCUUGACUCCUAGCAGCAGGACACCUGGCUGGCAGGAGAGACGCUGACAACGUAAAGGAUUACAGCUCCACCGGAGAAGGGCUGGAGCUGGGCUUUGCAAGAUAACUGCAAAUGGAUUUUUGUUUAUUAGUAAAGCAAGUUAAGCUCAGCAGGGUAACAAAUCCAGUGAUGGAGGGCACUCCUGAAGCGGUGCGCACUGCCCGGUCCCUUUUUUAAAAAUAAUUAAACCGGUUUGGCCCCAUGUAGCGUUUGGGCAGGGCCGUGCAGUAUUCAUCUGUCUAAGUGAUUCUCAUUUUCCAGUCUGGUACUAAAUCAGAAGCUUUUAUAUGAAAUGCGUGCAUCUCAUCUCUUCUUACUGGCUAGUCCACACAGGACAGAGGAGUUGGAAUAGAGGACCAAUUUAGUUAUGGGUGGAUUGCUUUCUAAGAUGCCUGGCAGAAUGACUGUGGAUGAAGGGCCUGCCAAGAGCAGGCUUCCAUCUAGAAACUAAACGUUUAGUUUCUUUUAGUGGCUUUCAAACGGGGGUACCAUCUAACCCUGGCUAUGUGGUGCUUUGUCAAGAAGUAUGUGCCUAAUUUUUAAUCACGGCAAUGGAGUUUGAUUGGUCAAUGUGCAAUGAGUAAUGGUAUUGAUGUUGGCAUUGAUACUUCCUAAGCAGUGAACAUGCAGAGACGCCUUGGAGGGGCUUGGGGCUACGAGCAGGUAAAGGGGUAUGCAGCCACAGCAAAAAAGCUGGAAAACUCCUGUUCCGUUUUGCUGGAUGACUGAUCGCUUGUGAAGGACUGCACACUCUCAGCUGGAAGUUGCAGGCUUUUCCACAAAGCAUUGCUCAUCAGAGCUGCUGAUGAUGGGGAGAGGAAAGGACAAGGGUGUGGGAGUGCCCAGGGAAACAUUGGGGUUCCUCAUUUUGCUGCAUUUCAAUGCAUGUUCUGUUCCCCAUGCAAUUUUUUUGACUCUAGUUCUCUUUAGUCCUCUUAGAUUACUUUCCCCAGGCUGUGCAUAGAUUUCUUCCAAACUAAUUUUUCAAUUCCAAUUUGAAAUUGCUGACUGGCUUCCAGGAGCUCUUUGCAAGCUACCCCUCUCUCCCUUAUUUCCACUCAGCCAACCUCAUUAGGACUUUUUCCACCCCCCCCUGCAAAAGUAGAAGUUAAUCUCAAAUAUUUUAUUUGUAAGGCAAAACUUAAUCAAGAAAUUAAGCAGGUUGCAUACUAAUUAGAGUCCAGGCUCAGUAUGCAUCCAAUGAAUGACAAAUAUGAUCAGAAUCGGUCUUCUUCAUCAGAGUCCUCAUAAAUAUUCAUCACAUAAAUAGAAGAUUGGAUGCCAUUAAAGAGACGAGAGAGAUUGAAAUCGGAAUAUGCGGGGAAAUGAAAAGUUUGGAUUGCUUCCAAGAUAUGCCCUAAAUAUUAAUAAAUCAUUGUUACGUGGAGGUGAAGAAAUAGAGCUGUUGAGUCCUUGUCUUGCGUUUUGGAUGAGUCAAGAGAUUUAUCCUAAUUUUUUCAGCCUGGGAUUUAAUAAUAAUGGACAGUGGGAAUAAAUGGUU